rnacentral:misc_RNA from 1 species
AAAUCAAGCAUGCACAAGCCAUCAAAGCGCAAACUCACUGGAUCUCCGGAGAACGACUUUUCCCAGUCUCCACUUUCACCACCUCGCCUUACCCAAGAGCAAGAAUUCGCCGUCAUGGUCACAGCCCUGAAAAAUGUUGUCUCCGGUUGCGUCACCACCAACAGUACAGCGGCAUUAACGGAUUUCUCGCAGGAGUUGUUUCGCCUUCAGUUCUCUACCACUGUUGCUACUUCAUCACAGUUCGCUGCUAGUUCUUCCGCUACUGUUACAGCUGG